AUCCUUUUUGUGAUUCAUAGAAGCAGUGAUUGAGUUUUCACGUCACUGUGAGAGAUAGGCUUCUCUCAAACUGUGUUAAACACCAGCCAGUACUUGUCUGACA